AGCGUGAGGCGGUCUACCAUGCAGUCGACGAUGAGCCCUUCGGGGUGGAUUAGUGGCGAACGGGUGAGUAACACGUGGGCAAUCUGCCCUUCACUCUGGGACAAGCCCUGGAAACGGGGUCUAAUACCGGAUGAUACUUCCACUCGCAUGGGUGGGGGUUGAAAGCUCCGGCGGUGAAGGAUGAGCCCGCGGCCUAUCAGCUUGUUGGUGAGGUAGUGGCUCACCAAGGCGACGACGGGUAGCCGGCCUGAGAGGGCGACCGGCCACACUGGGACUGAGACACGGCCCAGACUCCUACGGGAGGCAGCAGUGGGGAAUAUUGCACAAUGGGCGAAAGCCUGAUGCAGCGACGCCGCGUGAGGGAUGACGGCCUUCGGGUUGUAAACCUCUUUCAGCAGGGAAGAAGCGAGAGUGACGGUACCUGCAGAAGAAGCGCCGGCUAACUACGUGCCAGCAGCCGCGGUAAUACGUAGGGCGCAAGCGUUGUCCGGAAUUAUUGGGCGUAAAGAGCUCGUAGGCGGUCUGUCGCGUCGGAUGUGAAAGCCCGGGGCUUAACCCCGGGUCUGCAUUCGAUACGGGCAGACUAGAGUGUGGUAGGGGAGAUCGGAAUUCCUGGUGUAGCGGUGAAAUGCGCAGAUAUCACGAGGAACACCGGUGGCGAAGGCGGAUCUCUGGGCCAUUACUGACGCUGAGGAGCGAAAGCGUGGGGAGCGAACAGGAUUAGAUACCCCUGGUAGUCCACGCCCGUAAACGGUGGGAACUAGGUGUUGGGCGACAUUCCACGGUCGUCGGCGCCCGCA
rnacentral:rRNA from 1 species